GACGAACGCUGGCGGCGUGCUUAACACAUGCAAGUCGAACGCUGAAGCCUAGCUUUUGUUGGGUGGAUGAGUGGCGAACGGGUGAGUAACACGUGAGUAACCUGCCCCCUUCUUUGGGAUAACGCCCGGAAACGGGUGCUAAUACUGGAUAUUCACUGAUCUUCGCAUGGGGGUUGGUGGAAAGGUUUUUUCUGGUGGGGGAUGGGCUCGCGGCCUAUCAGCUUGUUGGUGGGGUGAUGGCCUACCAAGGCUUUGACGGGUAGCCGGCCUGAGAGGGUGACCGGUCACAUUGGGACUGAGAUACGGCCCAGACUCCUACGGGAGGCAGCAGUGGGGAAUAUUGCACAAUGGGCGAAAGCCUGAUGCAGCGACGCCGCGUGAGGGAUGGAGGCCUUCGGGUUGUAAACCUCUUUCGCUCAUGGUCAAGCCGCAACAUUGGUUGUGGUGAGGGUAGUGGGUAAAGAAGCGCCGGCUAACUACGUGCCAGCAGCCGCGGUAAUACGUAGGGCGCGAGCGUUGUCCGGAAUUAUUGGGCGUAAAGCGCGCGUAGGCGGUUUUUUAAGUCUGAUGUGAAAGCCCACGGCUCAACCGUGGAGGGUCAUUGGAAACUGGAAAACUUGAGUGCAGAAGAGGAAAGUGGAAUUCCAUGUGCAGCGGUGAAAUGCGCAGAGAUAUGGAGGAACACCAGUGGCGAAGGCGACUUUCUGGUCUGUAACUGACGCUGAUGUGCGAAAGCGUGGGGAUCAAACAGGAUUAGAUACCCUGGUAGUCCACGCCGUAAACGAUGAGUGCUAAGUGUUAGGGGGUUUCCGCCCCUUAGUGCUGCAGCUAACGCAUUAAGCACUCCGCCUGGGGAGUACGACCGCAAGGUUGAAACUCAAAGGAAUUGACGGGGACCCGCACAAGCGGUGGAGCAUGUGGUUUAAUUCGAAGCAACGCGAAGAACCUUACCAAAUCUUGACAUCCUUUGACAACUCUAGAGAUAGAGCCUUCCCCUUCGGGGGACAAAGUGACAGGUGGUGCAUGGUUGUCGUCAGCUCGUGUCGUGAGAUGUUGGGUUAAGUCCCGCAACGAGCGCAACCCUUAAGCUUAGUUGCCAUCAUUAAGUUGGGCACUCUAAGUUGACUGCCGGUGACAAACCGGAGGAAGGUGGGGAUGACGUCAAAUCAUCAUGCCCCUUAUGAUUUGGGCUACACACGUGCUACAAUGGACAAUACAAAGGGCAGCGAAACCGCGAGGUCAAGCAAAUCCCAUAAAGUUGUUCUCAGUUCGGAUUGUAGUCUGCAACUCGACUACAUGAAGCUGGAAUCGCUAGUAAUCGUAGAUCAGCAUGCUACGGUGAAUACGUUCCCGGGUCU
rnacentral:rRNA from 1 species